AAAAUCUGUGCAAUUCAUAAGAGUUGAAAAAUAAAAAUAGCUCAAGAUUAGUGCUUGUCUAGACAAUUCUCAUUUCUUCCCAAAUCAAAAGGCUAAAAUAUGAACUUUUUAAACUUUUUUUCCCUUUUCCUUUUUGUGUCUUUCCUCUUUUUGUUAUUGAAAUAUUGGAAGAAUUCCAAUACCCAAAUUAGAAAAAAAUUGCCUCCUGGUCCAUGGAAAUUACCCUUACUUGGAAGCAUGUUUCACUUGUUAGGAGGACCUCCACAUCAUGUCCUUAGUGAUUUAGCAAAAAAAUAUGGUCCAAUUAUGCACCUUCAAUUAGGUGAAAUUUCUCUAGUUGUUGUUAUUUCUCCUGAUAUGGCUAAACAAGUACUAAAAACUCAUGAUCUCACUUUUGCAUCUAGGCCUAAACUUGUAGCCACCGAUAUUAUUUGUUAUAAUGGGAGCGAUAUUAUUUUUUUCUCCCUAUGGUGAAUACUGGAGACAAAUGCGUAAACUUUGCAUUAUGGAAUUGCUUAGUGCCAAAAAUGUCAAGUCAUUCAGUUCUAUUAGAUAAGAUGAAGUUCUUCGUAUGAUUCAAUUUUUUCAAUCAUUUUCUGGUGAGACAGUUAAUGUCACUGAAAAGAUUUUUCAAUUCACGAGCUCUAUGACUUGUAGAUCAGCAUUUGGGAAAGUAUUCAAGGAAAAAGAUGAAUUUAUACAAGUGGUCAAAAAAGUGUCACAUAUAAUGGAAGGAUUUGAUGUGGCUGAUCUUUUCCCAUCAUUGAAAUUUCUUCAUGUGUUAUGUGGAAUGAAGAGUAGAAUUAUGGAUGUCCACCAUGAAUUAGAUGUCAUUCUUGAAAAAAUCAUCAAUGAGCACAAGAACAAUGGUGAAUUAGGAGGUGAAGGUUUAGUUGCUGCAUUGAUUGAAGUAAUGAAAGAGGGAGGCCUUUAAUUUCCAAUCACCAAUGAUAACAUCAAAGCUAUUAUCUUUUUAAGUACCUUCUCCUUAAUGUUAUUUAUUAAGUGUGCACUGAGUGGAACGUCUAUCAGAAACAAUCUGUCUGUCGGAGAAAAAUUGAUCUACACUCUUAGGGUGGGAUCUUUUCUUUCCAUCUAUACAUGUGACAUCUUUUAAUUGGAGAUUAUUGGUCCUUUUUUCAUUUUGGUUGAGUGAGGAAAAAGGGUAUAGAAUUUGUAAAGAAGGGAUGGUUAAAAAAAAGAAGUGGAAAAAAAUAGUGUGUCAUGACAAGUAGGGUGUGGGAAAAAAAGUAAAUAUCAUGAAGUUGGUUUAUAUGUCUUUGGGUGGUAAUAAUUUUAUUUCGAAUAAAAAUAGAGGGGUAAAAAUAUCUAUAAAGUCAAAGUAUGUAACUAAAUUGUCAGAAUAACUUUAGUAAGUACUUGUGUAUAUUUUUUUGUUAUUAUUUUUGUUGUCAUUAAAGUGUACAUUUGUAUUCUCAAAUUAUUACAUAAUUAUAUUUUUUUAAUUACGUAGAGUUGAUUAAAUAGAUCUAGUAAUUGUACUUUUAUGACAAAAUUUACACAUUUAGAAAGUAAAAGUAAAAAAAGAAACUUGGCGAUGAAAAAAAGUUCAUUAUAUUGUAGAACAAAGGUGGUAGAGUAUUACAAAGUCUAAUAUAAGUAAAUUGUUUUGAUAUUUCAGUAGAAAUUGAUCAAAAAAAUUCUAGAAAUAUAAAUAGCACGAGAGAGAUAAUGUAAUAUUGUAACUUACUUAUAAAUGAAGGACAUAUUUGCCGCGGGAACAGAAACUUCAUCAGCAACAAUUGAUUGGACCAUGGUGGAAAUGAUGAGGCAUCCAAAUGUACUCUCCAAAGCUCAAGAAGAGGUAAGAAACACCUUUAAAGGUAAAGAAACUUUUGAUGAAAAUGAUGUCGAAGAAUUGAAAUACUUAAAGUUGGUCGUUAAAGAAAGCUUCAGACUCCAUCCUCCAUUUCCCCUCUUGCUUCCAAGAGAAUGUAGGGAAGAAGUAGACAUAAAUGGAUACACUAUUCCUUUGAAAACAAAAGUUAUGGUUAAUGCAUGGAAGAGAUCCUAAAUAUUGGAAUGACGCAGAAAGCUUCAAACCUGAAAGAUUUGAGGAUAACUCUAUGGAUUUUGUUGGUAAUAAUUUUGAGUAUCUUCCCUUCGGUAGUGGAAGAAGGAAUUGCCCUGGGAUAUCAUUUGGCUUAGCUAAUGUUUAUUUUCCACUGGCUCAAUUGUUGUAUCACUUUGAUUGGAAACUUCCUAAUGGAAUCAAUUCAAGUGAAUUGGACUUAACUGAAUCUGCUGGAUCAACUUGUGCUAGAAAGAGUAAUCUUUACUUGAUCGCCACUCCUUAUUAGUAGCUAGUCAACAAGAACAACCGUCAGACGUCUUAGCCCAAAAUUUCCUAUUUGAUCAUCAAGUAAGAUUUUUUUUUUAAUGAUGUUUCAUGAUCAAUCUUGGUCAAUGAACACUCUUUUUUCUAUUUUUGUAUAAAUAGUUGAAUACGGAGGUUUUGGAUUAUGUCCUUCUCCCUUUUUUUAUGUACACUGGUUAUUUGUUAAUUAACAAGGUAAACAUCCUCUUUUUGUUAUUGAAAUAUUGGAAGAAUUCCAAUACCCAAAUUAGAAAAAAUUAGCCUCCUGGUCCAUGGAAAUUACCCUUACUUGGAAGCAUGUUUCAUUUGUUAGGAGGACCUCCACAUCGUGUCCUUAGAGAUUUAGCUAAAAAAAUAUGGUUCAAUUAUACACCUUCAAUUAGGUGAAGUUUCUCUAGUUGUUGUUACUUCUCCUGAAAUGGCCAAACAAGUACUAAAAACUCAUGACCUCGCUUUGCAUCUAGGCCCAUGCUAGCUUAUAGCCGCCGAGAUUGUUUGUUAUAAUGGGAGCGAUAUUGUUUUUUCUCCUUAUGGUGAUUACUGGAGACAAAUGCGUAAAAUUUGCAUCAUGGAAUUGCUUAGUGCCAAAAAUGUCAAGUCAUUCAACUCUAUUAGACAAGAUGAAGGUCUUGGUAUGAUUGAAUUUUUUCGAUCAUCUUCUGGUGAGACAGUUAAUGCCACAAAAAGGAUUUUUCAAUUUGCGAGCUCUAUGACUUGUAGAUCAGCAUUUGGGAAAGUAUUCAAAGAGCAAGAUGAACUUAUACUAUUAGUCAAAAAGGUGUCACGAUUAACGGAAGGAUUUGAUGUGGCUGAUAUAUUUCCAUCGCUAAAAUUUCUUCAUGUGUUAUGUGGAAUGAAAGGUAAAAUUAUGGAUGUCCACCAUGAAUUAAAUGUUAUUCUUGAAAACAUCAUCAAUGAGCACAAGAACAAUGGUGAAUUAGGAGGUGAAGGUUUAGUUGCCGCGCUACUAAGAGUAAUGAAAGAGGGAGGCCAUCAAUUUCCGAUCACCAAUGAUAACAUCAAAGCUAUUAUUUUUGUAAGUAUAUACGACAUAAUCUACUAUUGUUAUACGGGAAAAUACAUAAGUUACCACUAAAGUUAUCAUGCCAAUUUUCAAUUAUACAUGUUUUAUAUUCAUAUUGUUAUUCGAAAUGAAAUUAAUUUCCCCUAAGAGGCCAUGCGAUAGGAAAAUUGAUCUACCCUCCUAGGGUGGGACCUUUUUCAAUCAUAUAUGUGACAUCUUUUAAUCGGAGAUUAUUGAGAAGUAAAAGUAGAAAAAGAUUAUCAUGAUAAAAAUAAACUUGGUGAUGAAAAAAGGUUCAUUAUAUAUUUAUUGUAGAACAAAGGUAGUAGAGUAGCACAAGUUUAAAAUAAGUAAAUUAUUUUGAUAUUUCAAUAGAAAUCGGUCAAAAAAUUUGUACAAAUAUAAAUAGCACGAGAAAAGAUAAUAUAAUACUGUAACUUGUUUAUAAAUGAAGGACAUAUUUGCUGCGGGAACAGAAACUUCAUCAGCAACAAUUGAUUGGACCAUGGUGGAAAUGAUGAGGAAUCCCAAUGUACUCUCCAAAGCUCAAGAAGAGGUAAGAAACGCCUUUAAAGGUAAAGAAACUUUUGAUGAAAAUGAUGUCGAAGAAUUGAAAUACCUAAAGUUGGUCGUUAAAGAAAGUUUCAGACUACAUCCUCCACUCCCUCUUUUGCUCCCAAGAGAAUGUAGGGAAGAAGUAGACAUAAAUGGAUACACUAUUCCUUUGAAAACAAAAGUUAUGGUUAAUGCAUGGGCUAUUGGAAGAGAUCCUAAAUAUUGGAAUGACGCAGAAAGCUUUAAACCUNNNNNNNNNNNNNNNNNNNNNNNNNNNNNNNNNNNNNNNNNNNNNNNNNNNNNNNNNNNNNNNNNNNNNNNNNNNNNNNNNNNNNNNNNNNNNNNNNNNNNNNNNNNNNNNNNNNNNNNNNNNNNNNNNNNNNNNNNAUGGCUAAACAAGUACUAAAAACUCAUGACCUCGCUUUUGCAUCUAGGCCCAUGCUUAUAGCCGCCGAGAUUGUUUGUUAUAAUGGGAGCGAUAUUGUUUUUUCUCCUUAUGGUGAUUACUGGAGACAAAUGCGUAAAAUUUGCAUCAUGGAAUUGCUUAGUGCCAA
rnacentral:lncRNA from 1 species